CCCCCUCCCCCCGGACAUGGGCGUCGCAGACCCCAAGCCGCCGCCGCGCCCCAAGACGCGGGGCAACUACAACUGCGGCCGCUGCGGCCAGCCCAAGAAGGGCCACGUCUGCGUCGCCCCCGUCCCCGUCGCCGCCCCCUCCGGAGGUGGAGCCCCGUCCCCGUCCCCCUCCACCUCGUCCGGGGCCGCCAGCGCCAGCGGCGGCGGCGGCGGAGGGGAGCAGAGGCUCCGCCGCGCCCUCUCCUUCGACGAGGCGGGGACCCCGUCCUCGCCGGAGAAGAAGCCCAAGGUGGAGGGGGACGUGGAGAUGGACGUGGCGGGCGGCGAGGGGGAGAUGGAGGAGGGCGGCGACGAGGACGACGACGCGGCGGUGGAGGUGGGCGGCCGCCCCGUGCCCGGGGAGGUCAUGGCGGAGGUGCUGCGCCGGCUCGGGCCCCGCGGGGUCAUGGCCGCCGCGGGGGUCAACCGCGGCUGGCGGGACUGCGCGGGCCGGGUCUGGCGGGCCGCCGACGAGCUCCGCCUCCGCGUCCUCGCCAGCACGGGCGCCGGCCUCCUCGGCGCGCUGCUCCCGCGGUGCCCCGCGCUCUCGCGCCUCGACCUCCGGAUGGAAAGGGAUGUUGAUGCCACUACGCUGGCAUGUCUUGCAUUUUCCUGCCCAAGUUUAAAAACUCUCGAGAUUACGAUGGCUGCCAAUGCAAUCAACAGGAUGACUGGAGAGGAUCUAAGUCGUUUUGUUUCGGAGAAGUCUUCUCUGUCAGUCCUCAAAAUUGGUGGUUGCUCUAAUUUGGAUUUUAUUAAUCUAUGCUCUUCAAGUCUUUCAGUUCUUUGGCUGUCAGAGCUUUGUUCCCUUUCAAAAUCGGUCAUGAACUGUCCUAAUAUGAGUGAGCUCUCACUGUGCUUUGCACAACAAAGUAAUGAUUGUACCGAUAUGGUUAGUUUGAUGGAUGCCAUGGGUCGUACAUGCCCUAACUUAAACAAAAUGCACAUAUCAUCAAAUCAAUUAUCCAAUGAAGCUGUAUUUGCUCUAGAGAGUGCUAAUCUCAGGGGACUGUGUAUGCUAUCCUUGAUCCUAGGUUCAAAAAUAACUGAUGCAGCUGUUGCAUCUAUUGUUCGAUUGUGCACAAGCUUGGAGUUGCUUGAUUUAAGUGGAUCGAGCAUCAGUGAUAAUGGUGUUGGAAUGAUCUGCAAGGCGUUCCCUCAUACUUUAUCAAGGCUGCUUCUUGCUCUUUGCCCGAAUGUGACUACACGUGGGAUUCAGUUAGCUACAGCACAGUUGCCACAUCUUCAACUCAUGGACUGUGGGAUGAGCCUAUGCGCUAAUUUGAACAAUGAAAAGGGACCAAUGUUUGGUGACAUCAAUGGAGGCAUUAGAAUCAUUCGAAAAUUAUGUGCCUCAAAAAAUCAACCUAUUCACCAAAAGCUUAUUAUAAAGCAUGGUAAUUUGAAGAAACUCAGUCUGUGGGGUUGUUCAGCGAUUGAUGCUCUGUAUGUAAAUUGUCCAGAAUUGAAUGAUCUCAAUCUCAACUCUUGCACAAAUCUACAUCCAGAACGUCUGGUUCUUCAGUGCCCAAAUUUGAAGAAUGUCCAUGCAGUUGGAUGCCAAGACAUGUUGAUUGGAGCAAUCAGAAAUCAAGUAAAUCAGACACUGAUAACCUGCAAGCCACAAAACCUAAACAAGCAAAUUAUAUGAACUGGAGUCUAGCAUGGAGUGAGCAGCACUGGAGCUGAAGGUGUACCAGGCUUUGCUAUAGGCAUUCCAUAACUUAGAAACCAUUAUUUUGGCUUUGGUUUCUGUACAAUGUAACUGUGGUGUCCCAUGUAGUCUGUACUGAUGUUGUAACUUAAUUCUUUCAACACACUGGAAGCAGCCAUUCUGCUCCCCAUAGAAAAACACAUUGAUAGACCUCAUUGGUUCAGUUCCAGGAAACUUCACAUGGCAUCAAGCUCAACACCCUACAUCCUGGAUAGGCAGGUUAUGUAGCACCACUUGUACACCCUAACCAUAUCUACACUUUUGAGUUAUUUCUCCUGUUUUGUUUGUGCUAGAUGCCUUGAUCUACUGCGAGCGGUGCUAUCUACCUUUUGUGACAUCUUGUUAUCACCCAGGCAUUGCUAUCUUUCAGACCCAUGUUUGUGCGUGGCCAUGAGUCACCUCAGGGCCAGCUGCACUUGUGAUCAGGUGGCUCUGCCAUCCAUGGAUGUGGACAUUACUGCUGGUUCUGAAUGAGUUCACCGCAGCUGAAUCAUCUCUUCCAUGCAAGCUGCUAGCAGACGGCUCAAAACGGGUUCAACUUCCCCAGUUCCAACAACAUCAGCCGCCGGAGGAUGACAAAUUGUUUGAGUCGAGCCGGACCCAGUGCACCGUGCAUCUUCACAUCACCAGAGCCAGUUAACUGAACAAUUGUACACACCCAAUUAUGUGGAUCAUGAACCGCAUGACAUUAUUAAUUCUUUGUGUAAUUGUUGCAUUGCCUCAGAACCUAUAGUGCUUGUUGUAUAAGUUGCUAUUUGCUGCCACGGACUUCUAUGAAUUCCAUCCUUUUGUGUUUAUAUUGUAGAGCAAUAAUUUGUAACGAUGAGCUUGUAUUCUCUUGGGAAUAAUAAUGAUCCUGGUCCCUAGAUC